AGCAUAUCAAUAAGCGGAGGAAAAGAAACCAACAGGGAUUGCCCUAGUAACGGCGAGUGAAGCGGCAACAGCUCAAAUUUGAAAUCUGGCCUUCUGGUCCGAAUUGUAAUUUGUAGAGGAUGAUUUUGGUGCGGUACCUUCCGAGUUCCUUGGAACAGGACGCCUUAGAGGGUGAGAGCCCCGUACGGUUGGAUGCCUAGCCUUUGUAAAUCUCCUUCGACGAGUCGAGUAGUUUGGGAAUGCUGCUCUAAAUGGGAGGUAAAUUUCUUCUAAAGCUAAAUAUUGGCCAGAGACCGAUAGCGCACAAGUAGAGUGAUCGAAAGAUGAAAAGCACUUUGAAAAGAGGGUUAAAUAGCACGUGAAAUUGUUGAAAGGGAAGGAUUUAUGACCAGACUUUUUCUAGGCGGAUCAUCCGGUGUUCUCACCGGUGCACUUUGUCUAGUUUAGGCCAGCAUCGAUUUUCGGCAGCGGAUAAAAGCUUCAGGAAUGUGGCUCCUCCGGGAGUGUUAUAGCCUGUUGUAUAAUACGCCGCUGGGGAUCGAGGUACGCGCUUCUGCAAGGAUGCUGGCGUAAUGGUUAUCAAUCACCCGUCUUGAAACACGGACCAAGGAGUCGAACAUUUAUGCGAGUGUUUGGGUGUUAAACCCUCACGCGUAAUGAAAGUGAACGGAGGUGAGAGCCCUUACGGGUGCAUCAUCGACCGAUCCUGAUGUUUUCGGAUGGAUUUGAGUAAGAGCAUAACUGUUCGGACCCGAAAGAUGGUGAACUAUGCGUGGAUAGGGUGAAGCCAGAGGAAACUCUGGUGGAGGCUCGCAGCGGUUCUGACGUGCAAAUCGAUCGUCAAAUCUGCGCAUGGGGGCGAAAGACUAAUCGAACCCAUCAAGGCCC
rnacentral:rRNA from 1 species